AUUGAACGCUGGCGGCAUGCCUUACACAUGCAAGUCGAACGGCAGCACGGGAGCAAUCCUGGUGGCGAGUGGCGAACGGGUGAGUAAUAUAUCGGAACGUGCCCGGUCGUGGGGGAUAACGUAGCGAAAGCUACGCUAAUACCGCAUACGAUCUACGGAUGAAAGCGGGGGAUCGCAAGACCUCGCGCGAUUGGAGCGGCCGAUAUCAGAUUAGGUAGUUGGUGAGGUAAAGGCUCACCAAGCCGACGAUCUGUAGCUGGUCUGAGAGGACGACCAGCCACACUGGGACUGAGACACGGCCCAGACUCCUACGGGAGGCAGCAGUGGGGAAUUUUGGGACAAUGGGCGCAAGCCUGAUCCAGCAAUGCCGCGUGCAGGAUGAAGGCCUUCGG
rnacentral:rRNA from 1 species